GAGAACGGUUUCCCGGUAGCAAUACUGGGAGACCAAGUAAAGUGGCGAACGGGUGAGUAACACGUAGCUAACCUGCCCUUCAGUGGGGGAUAACCCUGCGAAAGUGGAGCUAAUACCGCAUACAGUCCCCGGGACAUAGGUUCUGGGGAGCAAAGCCGGUAACGGUGCUGAAGGAGGGGGCUGCGGCCGAUUAGCUAGUUGGUAGGGUAACGGCCUACCAAGGCUCCGAUCGGUAGCCGGCCUGAGAGGGCGCACGGUCACACUGGGACUGAAACACGGUCCAGACUCCUACGGGAGGCAGCAGUGGGGAAUUUUGCACAAUGCCCGAAAGGGUGAUGCAGCAACGCCGCGUGGAGGAUGAAGGUCCUCGGAUCGUAAACUCCUUUCGACCCGGAAGAAGGCCCGGUGAUGAGCCGGGAUUGACGGUACGGGUGGAAGAAGCCCCGGCCAACUACGUGCCAGCAGCCGCGGUAAUACGUAGGGGGCAAGCGUUGUUCGGAAUUACUGGGCGUAAAGGGCGCGUAGGCGGCCCGACAAGUCUCGUGUGAAAUCUCCCCGCUUAACGGGGAGGGGUCGCGAGAAACGGUCAGGCUAGAGUGCGG
rnacentral:rRNA from 1 species